UACGUAGGGGGCUAGCGUUGUCCGGAAUCAUUGGGCGUAAAGAGCGUGUAGGCGGCUCGGUAAGUCCGCUGUAAAAGUCAAAGGCUCAACCUUUGAAUGUCAGUGGAUACUGCCGGGCUAGAGUCCGGAAGAGGCGAGUGGAACUCCUGGUGUAGCGGUGGAAUGCGUAGAGAUCCGGAAGAACACCGGUGGCGAAGGCGGUCUGCUGGGGUCGAACUGACGCUGAGGCGCGACAGCGUGGGGAGCAAACAGG
rnacentral:rRNA from 1 species